CCCAGGGCAACACUGUGUCAACAAGGGGCCAGUGCAAUGGUUGGAUGUACAAACAGGGGUGCGAAGUCCACCACCUCCUGCAAACAGAGCUGAAACGAGAGUGGGGAUGUAUUUAUAUUGACUCCAAAACUGCCCACAUUGGUUGCUCAGAAGGACAUUCGCUGACUGUGCUGCACUGGUUCUCACAACAGGAUGUGAAGGAAAAGACUUAGCUGCAACCACUGUAAGCCAGCUCUGAUUAUCACAACUGCAAAACAGAAUCAUCCAUGAACAACUGUACAAAGGAAAGCAGAAUGAAUACAAGAACACUUCCAGAAACAACCUCCAUGGGAGAAGGUACUUCGAUAUACAGGGGAUGAGUACAGCAUAAAUACAGGCAGCAAUACAAAGGAAAGAUAAAGCCCCAGAGAACAUACAUCCAGUUGUACAGUGGUCCAAGAACUGAACUCAGGAACUAUAUUUAGAGAGCAAGACCUGGGACCAGAGGAAGAGUACAUAAAUCAUCUCCCUUAUGGAAACAGCCUGUAUAUUUCAAGAGAUGACAUCAAUAUGAUUUAUCAAAAACAACCAACAGCUGUGAAAUUAAAGAGAAAAUUAAGUCCUUUCUAUUACUUAUGGCUAGAAAACUUCUACCAAAACUAUUUCUGAGAGAAUAUUUUUAAUGAAAAAUCAUAAGGAAAAUUGGUCCCAUUUUUCAUCCAAUGCUACUUUCCAGAGAUGUUUUAAACCAACAUAUAGAAUGGACUAGAAAGCUACAUUCCUACUAUACAACUCUAUAAUUGAUUUUAAAUGGCUACAGAAAAAAGUUAUUCUUUAUGGAUUGCAAUAGACUUUUUCCAUAUGGGCUGACUCUCCUGUAGUUUUUGUUUUUAACUUGGUUGUAUUUUCUCUUUUUGGAAGGUAAAAAUUCAACAGCACUAUCAGAACUAAGCUAAUGAUUGAUGUAUCCUGCAAUGGUAGCCAUCUUGUAAAUUGGGAACCUAUCAAAGCCCAAAUGUGAGAGACACCAAGUUGGGCUUAACAGACUCAAAAUAAGGGACAUAAGAUAAUUAGGGCUGUCAA